UCUCUUCAGCUGUGCUGUCGGGACCUCGAGAGCCAUAAACUCCGGCAUUGAUUAGAUGACUGUGUGCAGCGAGGGAAGAGAUUGUUUCCGGGCGACGGAAUCAACCGGGAGAGGCCGGAGAACCGAGGACGCAGCGGCAUCCUGAGCUGCCCUUUGAUGUGCCUGAUGAAUGCAGAGCAACAGGGGGUCCGAGAGAGAGAGACGGGCAGGGAGAGCUCUACCUGCUGGGGUUCUCAAAAGGAUUGAUUCCCUGUCGCUGCUGCCCGGAUGGUCGGAAAGAAAAAGAGAAAAGCAAUAGAGAAAGAGCGAGCUUAGGAGAACCAACAAAGCACGACCACUUAGCAGAGUUCACCGCUGAGCUCUGGCUUCAAGGAAAUUCGCUCUUUGUUGAUGUCACUAGGUGAACGGAGAGCAUGCUGGGAACAGAUGUUUUAAAGAAUAUGCUGGCGUUAUACGAUAGAAAGGGAAAUGGGGACUUUGACAGUCAAGCUCCAAAAAGGGUGCUCAAAGUCUUUCAGUGGGCUCGGUAAGAAAAAAACAGAGAGGAUGAUGGGAUUUAAUGAUCCACACCAGCGAACAAAGCACAGCUUUGCACAAAAGAAGAAACCUCUGGCUGGGUUCCAAGGCCACAGUCAAUGGCACAAAAAUACGUAUGUUCUGAUGUCCUUUAAGAAACCUAAAAAAAAAAAACAUUUGGAAUGGUUGGGCAAUGUGUUGGAAAGUCUCCUUGUGCCAAACAUUUUGAUCUCCAGAAUCGUCCCCUUGCCAUUCCUCAGCACACUGAAUGGAAGUUUUUAAUCCCAUGGAGAUUUUCCUGCGUGUUAGUGGGUCCUUUCAUAAAGAGCUCACUCGUUCCCUUUCCUUGCCGACUCGUACAGGGCUCUCUCUGUGUCUGCUGGAGUUUUGAGGGCCGUUUCUCCCCUGUAAGCCUUUGAGGAGCUUGGCCUUUGAAGUCCCGCACUCCACUGAUGGCUUCACCAAUAGCCGCGCUUUGAAUGCCUUGAAUUAAUGGUUCCCAAAGAGAGAUGGAGAGACCUACAGCAGAAGAUGAGUAGACCCAAAAACCCACUCACUGUACACCUGUGACCUUCUGUAACCCCAGAUGUCCUAAUGCUAAUUUCACAUGUUUAAUGUAUGGUGUUUUCUGCAGAUUCUCUACAGCUUUAAACUGUGAAACCAAAUCAAGAACAUGGAAUUAUUUUCUAAUUUGGCAUGAAAAGAAACAAAUGUGCAUGAAGAAUAGUACAUCAUCUUGAAUUAAAAAUGUUGUGUUACUAUUAAAGAAGUGCUUGGCGUGAGGUAAAUUCACUCUGAUCUCUUCAAACACGCAGUUUAAACACCGAUUCUGAAAAUGUCAUAUUUGAUUCUUCACUGUUAGAAAUUACCAGCAUUUUACAAUCAUUAACAGUGUUAUUUUACCAUAACUUGUUGUA